CUAUCUCUCUGUAAUGACUCAACUAAAUUAGUUAACGGCUUUAUGAUAGCAGACUCGUAUGUUGGGAUGUAGGAUCUUAAAUUUUGUAUGAAAAUUUUGGAACCAUCUUGAGAAUCUUUCAAUGAUUUGGAAAUCGAAUCCAAGUCCUUUAGUCCUUGAUGUAUCCGUUUCGAGGUGCAUCUCCUUCUUUGGAUCGAAAAUUGCAAGAACAAGGGUAUUCAUCAACACGCCCUUCACUUCAUUCAUGGUGCAGGGAAUUCACAAAUCUUGUUAACGGCAAAAUUGAUAUCUUCACAUGCAAAUUGGAACUUCUCUUUGCUUAAGAACUUUCAUCAUCCACAAAGACAUCAUCGACAACUUUAUGAGCGUUGCGAAUUUCCUUCUAAGGCUUGGUCGCACCUACAAUUGUAUGCAUCACCAUUGGAUAUAAACCCCUUGGGUGCUCGUUUGAAAAAAUAUCUUCCAUAUUGUGUUAUGAACAUAGUGAGCUUAUAGCUUCCUUCAUGAAGAGGUAUCUAUCAGUAUCCAUUCACUGCCUCAAAUUUGGCUUUGUUACAACGAGGAUCUGAUGACACCACUCCAUCGCUUCAUACUCAAUCUUCUCUAUCACGUCCUUCUUCACCAUAACAUCCAACGUCCUCUUGAUUUGGUCCCUGUAGCAAAAAGGGAUUUGCCUCGAUCCAUGGAGUGCAAACGGCUUUGCCACUUCCAACAGCUCUAUUGUUAUCGGGAGAAACUUCAUUGUCCUCAACUCUUCCUCCCAGGUAAAUACAUCUGAAAACUAAUCUAUGAAGUCCUUCAGGUAAUUUCUUUUAAUUUCUUCGGAUAUGUUGGAAUCUAGGAUACAUUUAAUAUUGGUGCUCACUAACGACUGAUUUAUCCAUUCCUGUUUCAGAGGUCGAUGGAAAUGUGGGUGCAAAAUUCCCAAUCUCAUGCAUGCUUAGAGAUAAACAUCUCAUCUUGGUCAAUAUCCUUGACGAAAUACACAAUCUCCUUGUGCUGACGAUUUCCGAGUCUAAUUAUCAACUCGAAACCUUUCUCGA
rnacentral:lncRNA from 1 species